AUUGAACGCUGGCGGCAUGCCUUACACAUGCAAGUCGAACGGUAACAGGCCGCAAGGUGCUGACGAGUGGCGAACGGGCGAGUAAUGCAUCGGAACGUGCCCAGUCGGGGGGGAUAACUGCUCGAAAGAGCAGCUAAUACCGCAUACGACCUGAGGGUGAAAGCGUGGGACCGUAAGGCCUCGCGCGAUUGGAGCGGCCGAUGUCAGAUUAGCUAGUUGGUGGGGUAAAGGCCUACCAAGGCAACGAUCUGUAGUUGGUCUGAGAGGACGACCAGCCACACUGGGACUGAGACACGGCCCAGACUCCUACGGGAGGCAGCAGUGGGGAAUUUUGGACAAUGGGCGCAAGCCUGAUCCAGCAAUGCCGCGUGCAGGAAGAAGGCCUUCGGGUUGUAAACUGCUUUUGUCAGGGAAGAAAUCUUCUGGGCUAAUACCCCGGGAGGAUGACGGUACCUGAAGAAUAAGCACCGGCUAACUACGUGCCAGCCGCCGCCGUAACAC
rnacentral:rRNA from 1 species